rnacentral:rRNA from 1 species
UACGGAGGGAGCGAGCGUUGUUCGGAAUUACUGGGCGUAAAGCGUAUGUAGGCGGCUUCGUAAGACAGAUGUGAAAUCCCAGAGCUUAACUUUGGAACUGCAUUUGUGACUGCGAGGCUGGAGUAUCGGAGAGGUUGGCGGAAUUCCUAGUGUAGAGGUGAAAUUCGCAGAUAUUAGGAGGAACACCGAUGGCGCAAGCAGCCAACUGGACGAUUACUGACGCUGAGAUACGAAAGCGUGGGGAGCAAACAGG